rfam:Marivita cryptomonadis strain CL-SK44 contig51, whole genome shotgun sequence.
AAUCAAGCGCGAGAAGGGCGUUUGGUGAAUGCCUAGGCAGUAAGAGGCGAUGAAGGACGUGAUACUCUGCGAUAAGCCAUGAGGAGCUGAGAAUAAGCUUUGAUCCAUGGAUUUCCGAAUGGGGCAACCCACCUGACAGUUUGAUAUAAUUGCCUUUGGGCAGCUUAUAUCUUGCUGAAACAGGUACUUAUUACCUGAAUACAUAGGGUUUUAAGAGCAAACCCGGGGAACUGAAACAUCUAAGUACCCGGAGGAAAGGACAUCAAUUGAUACUCCCCUAGUAGCGGCGAGCGAACGGGGACCAGCCGAGCCUUGAGCGUGACUAGAAUGUGCUGGAAAGCACAGCCAUAGCGGGUGACAGCCCCGUAUAGGAAGCGUGAUGGGACGUAUUAAGUAGGGCGGGACACGUGAAAUCCUGUCUGAAGAUCGGAGGACCACCUUCGAAGGCUAAGUACUCCUUACUGACCGAUAGUGAACCAGUACCGUGAGGGAAAGGUGAAAAGCACCCCGACGAGGGGAGUGAAACAGUACCUGAAACCGAACGCCUACAAUCAGUCGGAGCCCCCUUGCGGGGUGACGGCGUACCUUUUGUAUAAUGGGUCAUCGACUUGGUCUAUCUAGCAAGCUUAAGCCGUUAGGUGUAGGCGCAGCGAAAGCGAGUCUGAAUAGGGCGCAUGAGUUAGAUGGAUCAGACCCGAAACCGAGUGAUCUAGGCAUGGCCAGGUUGAAGGUUGGGUAACACCAACUGGAGGACCGAACCCACAUCCGUUGAAAAGGAUCGGGAUGAGCUGUGCCUAGGGGUGAAAGGCCAAUCAAACUCGGAGAUAGCUGGUUCUCUGCGAAAUCUAUUUAGGUAGAGCGUCAUCCGAAUACCCCCGGGGGUAGAGCACUGGAUGGGUAAUGGGGCCCCACAGGCUUACUGAUCCUAACCAAACUCCGAAUACCGGGGAGUACUAGAUGGCAGACACACAGCGGAUGCUAACGUCCGUUGUGGAGAGGGAAACAACCCUGACCUACAGCUAAGGCCCCCAAUUCAUGGCUAAGUGGGAAAGCAGGUGGGACGACCAAAACAACCAGGAGGUUGGCUUAGAAGCAGCCAUCCUUUAAAGAUAGCGUAACAGCUCACUGGUCUAAAUAAGUUGUCCUGCGGCGAAGAUGUAACGGGGCUCAAGCCAUGAGCCGAAGCUUAGGAUGCACAUAGUGCAUGGUAGCAGAGCGUAGUGUGACAUAGGACUACGUCUCUUCUAUUUUAGCGGACCGUUUGGGUCUGCUUGGGUGCUAACGCGCUCAAGUAGCCCUCCGGGCGGUAGCGCAAAAUAAUGGAGACGAAGUCUUUUCUGUGAAGCCGGCGUGUGAGCGAUCCGGUGGAGAGAUCACUAGUGAGAAUGAUGACAUGAGUAGCGACAAAGAGUGUGAGAGACACUCUCGCCGAAAGUCCAAGGGUUCCUGCUUAAAGCUAAUCUGAGCAGGGUAAGCCGGCCCCUAAGCCGAGGCCGAAAGGCGUAGGCGAUGGGAACCACGUUAAUAUUCGUGGGCCAGAUGGAAGUGACGGAUCUCGAAGAUUGUUCCUCCUUAUCGGAUUGGAGGGGCCGUUCAGAGGUUCCUGGAAAUAGCUCCAUCAUCAGACCGUACCCUAAACCGACACAGGUGGACUGGUAGAGAAUACCAAGGCGCUUGAGAGAACGAUGUUGAAGGAACUCGGCAAAAUACCUCCGUAAGUUCGCGAGAAGGAGGCCCGGUUCCUAGGCAACUAGGGGCUGGGGGCACAAACCAGGGGGUGGCGACUGUUUAUUAAAAACACAGGGCUCUGCGAAGUCGCAAGACGACGUAUAGGGUCUGACGCCUGCCCGGUGCCUGAAGGUUAAAAGGAGGGGUGAGAGCUCUGAAUUGAAGCCCAGGUAAACGGCGGCCGUAACUAUAACGGUCCUAAGGUAGCGAAAUUCCUUGUCGGGUAAGUUCCGACCUGCACGAAUGGCGUAACGACUUCCCCGCUGUCUCCAACAUCGACUCAGCGAAAUUGAAUUGCCUGUCAAGAUGCAGGCUUCCCGCGGUUAGACGGAAAGACCCCGUGCACCUUUACUACAGCUUCGCACUGGCAUCAGGAUUGUGAUGUGCAGGAUAGGUGGUAGGCUUUGAAGCGGUGACGCCAGUCAUCGUGGAGCCUCCCUUGAGAUACCACCCUUCGCACUCUUGAUGUCUAACCGCGGUCCGUUAUCCGGAUCCGGGACCCUGCGUGGCGGGUAGUUUGACUGGGGCGGUCGCCUCCUAAAGCGUAACGGAGGCGCGCGAAGGUUGGCUCAGAGCGGUCGGAAAUCGCUCGUUGAGUGCAAUGGCAGAAGCCAGCCUGACUGCAAGACUGACAAGUCGAGCAGAGUCGAAAGACGGCCAUAGUGAUCCGGUGGUCCCAAGUGGGAGGGCCAUCGCUCAACGGAUAAAAGGUACGCCGGGGAUAACAGGCUGAUACUGCCCAAGAGUCCAUAUCGACGGCAGUGUUUGGCACCUCGAUGUCGGCUCAUCUCAUCCUGGGGCUGGAGCAGGUCCCAAGGGUACGGCUGUUCGCCGUUUAAAGAGGUACGUGAGCUGGGUUUAGAACGUCGUGAGACAGUUCGGUCCCUAUCUGCCGUGGGUGUAGGAUACUUGAGAGGAGUUGCCCCUAGUACGAGAGGACCGGGGUGAACGAUCCACUGGUGGACCUGUUGUGGCGCCAGCCGCAGUGCAGGGUAGCUAUGAUCGGAAAGGAUAACCGCUGAAGGCAUCUAAGCGGGAAGCCCCCCUCAAAACAAGGUAUCCCUGAGGGCCGUGGUAGACCACCACGUCGAUAGGCCGGAGGUGUAAGCGCAGCAAUGCGUUCAGCUGACCGGUACUAAUGGCCCGAUAGGCUUGAUUUG